rnacentral:misc_RNA from 1 species
GAGGACCGGAUUCGUCGACGCAGGGUCUGAGCAUGCGCUGCAUCAGGCCUAUCUACUGCUACCUCCGGCUGUCUGCCCUGCUGGCUUCAUCGGACAAAACAAGUCGCAGGAAGCUGUACCACGUGCACUGCACUGGGACCACCUGACCAGCACGGUGACGUCGACGGAGACAUCGUGGCACCCGGAUAAAAGCAGCAGCCUUUUCGACAUUCCCUUCAGUGGACUUGGAAGCACCGAAUGAGCACGGAUGCUGAUCAAAUUUUUUCUGAUCGCACAGAGUUCAUCACUUGUGCAUGUGCAACACAUUGGCGGAGGCAAUACGAACUGCAUUUCUCACUAGCUGGACAAGUCGGAAUGGCAAUGCACCUUGGAGAACAAUACUCGAAUUGUGAAAGUCUGGUGGUUUCACAGAACUUUGUUUUAUGUCAAGAUGGGCUGACACCAUGUCACCUGAUGCUGUCACUCUCUGGUAAGCAUGUUAAAAAAAUAAAAACAAUCCAGUUUGAACA